AUAAGAUCAUUUGCAGGUUCUGCUAUGGGGAUGUGAGCCGAGAUAUCUUAUAUUUCAUAAAUGCCUGCGCCUUAAACUAAUUCCUAUAAAUUAGCACUUCUUGAGAAUGUUUCUAGAAAGAUGUUAUGAGAAACAACUUAUGACAGCAACAUGAGGGAGGGAGAAUAUAGGUAUGUUCUCGUACUUUCUUAACCACACACCUGGCUAUAGUAGAAAUUUUUUGCCUUGCACACGGCAGGGAUCUGUGGCUGUAUAGACCUGCCCUGUGAUGUAUCAGUUGACUUACCCAUAGGAAAAUGAGGUCUAACCCUUGUUAUGAAUCUAUAUUAGGUAGUAUGUUGUAGUGGCAAUAGCCCUACAUAAUACUUGGUUUCUAAAUGUUUUGUUUCAAAUCAGAGAUCCUUAGUUACUAGGAGAAGAUAUGUAUCGUGUCAAGUGUCUACUCUGGAGCCAGAUUGCCUGAUUCAAAUCCCAGUUCGUCACUGUGCGAUUGGACUAAUUAAUUAAC
rnacentral:lncRNA from 10 species